UGAAGGCCCUUCAACCUCGUGAUGGGGAUUGUAUAUAUAAUGCUACUCUUUGAGAUUUCAAGAUUGGUUGUGUUCAUAUUUUCUCCACUGGAGAAGCCCUUUAGGAUGCUUGUGUCCGUAUACAUAAUCUUUGAAGUUGAUAAUAUGAAGACGCUUGCUACUAUUCAAUACUUAGAUUGCUCCUCUUGGCAAAUGCAGCUCUUCACUCACCAUUUAAAUUCAAAUAUUAAUUGUCUGAGUAUCAUCUCGAGAAUUAUUGACUCAAGAAGGAAGAAAACAAUUGAAAAUCUUAGUUAUGUUCCUUUAUCUACUCCCCUUAUCUGUCUUUUCCAAUCGCUUGAGAUGCUAAUUAAGCAUUCUCCAUGGACGAAAGUCCUUCCAGUUUGAGAAUUGCUUUUGUAGGCUUCUAAUGUUAUGCUUUUUCUUGGCUCGAGUGGGGGCUUUCUCUCACUAGGUCAACAUAUGGGCUUUUUUCUCUUUUCCUAGUCCAGGAUGUGGGCGUUUUAGUGUGUAUGUUUUUCUUUUCUCCUGACCUGUGAUGUGGGCUGCAUCUUUUGUCUUUUGUUCUCCUUUCUUGUAAUCUUUUUUACUUUG